CCCUUUGUACACACCGCCCGUCGCUACUACCGAUUGAAUGGCUCAGUGAGGCGUUCGGACUGGCUCGGGGAGGUUGGCAACGACCACCCCAAGCCGGAAAGUUCGUCAAACUCGGUCAUUUAGAGGAAGUAAAAGUCGUAACAAGGUCUCCGUAGGUGAACCUGCGGAGGGAUCAUUACACAAUAACAUAUGAAGGCUGUACGCGGCUGUGCCCUCGGGCCAGUUGGCGGAGGCUGGAGUAUUUAUUUACCCUUGUCUUUUGCGCACUUGUUGUUUCCUGGGCGGGUUCGCCCGCCACCAGGACCACAUGAUAAACCUUUUUUAUGCAGUUGCAAUCAGCGUCAGUACAACAAAUGUAAAUCAUUUACAACUUUCAACAACGGAUCUCUUGGUUCUGGCAUCGAUGAAGAACGCAGCGAAAUGCGAUACGUAGUGUGAAUUGCAGAAUUCAGUGAAUCAUCGAAUCUUUGAACGCACAUUGCGCCCUUUGGUAUUCCAAAGGGCAUGCCUGUUCGAGCGUCAUUUGUACCCUCAAGCUUUGCUUGGUGUUGGGCGUUUUGUCUUUGGUUUGCCAAAGACUCGCCUUAAAACGAUUGGCAGCCGGCCUACUGGUUUCGCAGCGCAGCACAUUUUUGCGCUUGCAAUCAGCAAAAGAGGGCGGCACUCCAUCAAGACUCUUUUAUCACUUUUGACCUCGGAUCAGGUAGGGAUACCCGCUGAACUUAAGCAUAUCAAUA
rnacentral:sRNA from 1 species